AAAGUGAGACACAAGAAUCCGCUAUUUCAAUGGGUGACGUAUUUCGGGAUAUAGAUAAUACUAAAUAUACCAAGGACUCCACAAGUUAUAAUGAUAAAGCACGCACAAACUCAAAACGGAAAGUAAACUUUCUAAACGACGAAGUAGAUAUUGUCAAACAAGAUGUGAAAAGAGUUUACGACGGAGAUAGACAUUGGAGAUAUAUGGCAAAAUCAGAACAACGACGAA